UCACUUUACAGACUACAUCCAAGUUAACUGAGUGGUCGGAGAACCUUGGAAUCAUCAGAAAAUGCAUUGAUUCAAUCGUCGAAAAAAUCCUCAUCGACCCUGCAAAGGUUGAUUCUGUUACAGCUAUAAUGCACAGCUUAAAAGAAAGCAGUAAUGUGUUUCAUUAGUCACUAAAACUUUGCUGGAAAAUAACUUUUCUUUGCAGGUUUCUUGGUCCUACACAUAUACUAGAACAGGGUACAAAAAGUCCCAGAAAUCAAUCCCCAAGGAUUGGUGGACGGAGGACAUAUCUGACCUUGAUAUAGAUCUCUUCCGGUGUAUAAUCACAGCCAUCAGAUCAACAUAUAUACUGCCACCACAGCUUAUAGGUGAAGCCUUACACGUAUAUGCCUGCC
rnacentral:lncRNA from 1 species